rnacentral:rRNA from 1 species
AUUGAACGCUGGCGGCAGGCCUAACACAUGCAAGUCGAACGAGUGGCGGACGGGUGAGUAAUGUCUGGGCAACUGCCCGAUGGAGGGGGAUAACUACUGGAAACGGUAGCUAAUACCGCAUACCAUCGGAUGUGCCCAGAUGGGAUUAGCUAGUAGGUGGGGUAACGGCUCACCUAGGCGACGAUCCCUAGCUGGUCUGAGAGGAUGACCAGCCACACUAGAACUGAGGCACGGGCCAGAGGGCUACGGGAGACAGCGGUGGGGAGUAUUGCCCAGUGGGGGACACCCUGAGGCAGCGACGCCGGGUGCGGAAGGACGGCCAUCGGGUGGUAAACGGCUUUCAGCCAAGACGCGGUAGUGGCAGAAGAAGCACCGGCUAACUACGUGCCAGCCGCCGCGGUAAUUC